rnacentral:rRNA from 1 species
UUUAAGAGUGUGAUCGUGGCUCAGAUUGAACGCUGGCGGCAGGCCUAACACAUGCAAGUCGAACGGUAACAGGAAGCAGCUUGCUGCUUCGCUGACGAGUGGCGGACGGGUGAGUAAUGUCUGGGAAACUGCCUGAUGGAGGGGGAUAACUACUGGAAACGGUAGCUAAUACCGCAUAACGUCGCAAGACCAAAGAGGGGGACCUUCGGGCCUCUUGCCAUCGGAUGUGCCCAGAUGGGAUUAGCUAGUAGGUGGGGUAACGGCUCACCUAGGCGACGAUCCCUAGCUGGUCUGAGAGGAUGACCAGCCACACUGGAACUGAGACACGGUCCAGACUCCUACGGGAGGCAGCAGUGGGGAAUAUUGCACAAUGGGCGCAAGCCUGAUGCAGCCAUGCCGCGUGUAUGAAGAAGGCCUUCGGGUUGUAAAGUACUUUCAGCGGGGAGGAAGGCGAUAAGGUUAAUAACCUUGUCGAUUGACGUUACCCGCAGAAGAAGCACCGGCUAACUCCGUGCCAGCAGCCGCGGUAAUACGGAGGGUGCAAGCGUUAAUCGGAAUUACUGGGCGUAAAGCGCACGCAGGCGGUCUGUCAAGUCGGAUGUGAAAUCCCCGGGCUCAACCUGGGAACUGCAUUCGAAACUGGCAGGCUAGAGUCUUGUAGAGGGGGGUAGAAUUCCAGGUGUAGCGGUGAAAUGCGUAGAGAUCUGGAGGAAUACCGGUGGCGAAGGCGGCCCCCUGGACAAAGACUGACGCUCAGGUGCGAAAGCGUGGGGAGCAAACAGGAUUAGAUACCCUGGUAGUCCACGCCGUAAACGAUGUCGACUUGGAGGUUGUGCCCUUGAGGCGUGGCUUCCGGAGCUAACGCGUUAAGUCGACCGCCUGGGGAGUACGGCCGCAAGGUUAAAACUCAAAUGAAUUGACGGGGGCCCGCACAAGCGGUGGAGCAUGUGGUUUAAUUCGAUGCAACGCGAAGAACCUUACCUACUCUUGACAUCCAGAGAACUUUCCAGAGAUGGAUUGGUGCCUUCGGGAACUCUGAGACAGGUGCUGCAUGGCUGUCGUCAGCUCGUGUUGUGAAAUGUUGGGUUAAGUCCCGCAACGAGCGCAACCCUUAUCCUUUGUUGCCAGCGGUCCGGCCGGGAACUCAAAGGAGACUGCCAGUGAUAAACUGGAGGAAGGUGGGGAUGACGUCAAGUCAUCAUGGCCCUUACGAGUAGGGCUACACACGUGCUACAAUGGCGCAUACAAAGAGAAGCGACCUCGCGAGAGCAAGCGGACCUCAUAAAGUGCGUCGUAGUCCGGAUUGGAGUCUGCAACUCGACUCCAUGAAGUCGGAAUCGCUAGUAAUCGUGGAUCAGAAUGCCACGGUGAAUACGUUCCCGGGCCUUGUACACACCGCCCGUCACACCAUGGGAGUGGGUUGCAAAAGAAGUAGGUAGCUUAACCUUCGGGAGGGCGCUUACCACUUUGUGAUUCAUGACUGGGGUGAAGUCGUAACAAGGUAACCGUAGGGGAACCUGCGGUUGGAUCACCUCCUUACCUUAAAGAA